rnacentral:lncRNA from 1 species
UUUGUUUGUGAUAUUUUAGAGAAAUGCAAAAUUAAAAAAAUUACUCGGGAGAAAAUCACAUGACAUUAACGUAUAACUUUACUUAAAUUGUAUUCUAAGGAACAGAAAAUCAUUUCGUUGAGAAAUCAAGAAUGUGCCAAAUAAGAACAAUUAAAUAAGAUACCAUCAACGACAAAAACAGGUAAAUGAGAGAGAAAAAAAUACAGAACAAAGUAAAACAUAAAAUAUAAAAUUGAGAAUGGAAACGGGGAAUAUGUCAAAGAGACAACAACCCGACCAAAUUAAAGAGCAGACAGCAGCCGAAGGCCACCAAUGCAGCGAGAAUUUCCUGCACCCGGAGGCGCGCCUUUUAUAACCAUCCCAUUCCCCAAA